AGUAAUUUUGGGGCCCUUUAUAGCUUGUUGUUCGGUGUGAGCCAAGGCUCCGUGUUGAAGGCCGUACUUUAACCUAUAAUGGUUUACUUUUUAAAUUAUUAUUUGUAUGGAGAGUUGUCUCAUUGGCACUCACACCAUAUCUUCCUAUAUCUAUUAGGACAGAGUAUUCGUCGUUUAUUUUGAUCAGUAAAAGUCUUCCUCAAACC
rnacentral:lncRNA from 1 species